GAUGAACGCUGGCGGCGUGCCUAAUACAUGCAAGUCGAGCGAACGGACGAGAAGCUUGCUUUUCUGAUGUUAGCGGCGGACGGGUGAGUAACACGUGGAUAACCUACCUAUAAGACUGGGAUAACUUCGGGAAACCGGAGCUAAUACCGGAUAAUAUUUUGAACCGCAUGGUUCAAAAGUGAAAGACGGUCUUGCUGUCACUUAUAGAUGGAUCCGCGCUGCAUUAGCUAGUUGGUAAGGUAACGGCUUACCAAGGCAACGAUGCAUAGCCGACCUGAGAGGGUGAACGCCCACACUGGAACUGAGACACGGUCCAGACUCCUACGGGAGGCAGCAGUAGGGAAUCUUCCGCAAUGGGCGAAAGCCUGACGGAGCAACGCCGCGUGAGUGAUGAAGGUCUUCGGAUCGUAAAACUCUGUUAUUAGGGAAGAACAUAUGUGUAAGUAACUGUGCACAUCUUGACGGUACCUAAUCAGAAAGCCACGGCUAACUACGUG
rnacentral:rRNA from 1 species